UGCGGAGAACGAGGGUUUGCGGGAGGAAAAGCUUAGCGGAGAGAAGACUGGGGACCAGGGGACUUGCUCGGGUCCAGCAAGAGGGCUCGGGUCAUUUCCAUAAGAAAGCCGCAACCCAGCUGGAGGCUGAGGCUCUCCCGGGCCUCCCUGCCCCCACCGCCGGUGGCUGCCGGGCUCCGGCUCCUCUGGAGCACAGAUCCGGACAAGCGCCGCGGUGUGGGUUGACGUUGCUGAGAAGUGGCUUCCAGCACUGCCCAACUGGGGACCCGUUUCUAGUCUGGAGGGAGUGGACCGACCGCGAGGGGUGAGUCCAGUGCGCUGAGGAGCCAGCAAGGGGCUAGGAGAGCUCCGGGAAGCUAGCCCGCACUGGGCACCCUGGAUCACCAAGUCCUGCAAAGGACUCUGAAGCGGGGUAUGGGUGGGAGUGCUGGGAGAAAGCCCCAGAACCCAGGAUGUCUGCGGGGUGCUAUUCCAAAUCCCCAGAGCUUUCGCUUUCAGCGGGUGACCGACCCUCUUCCUGCGAAGGGGUGGAAAGUGAACUUGGUCAGACACUUGAUCUCACUAGCGAGCCCGUUCCUUCUCUGUUUACACCGAGUUCUUCGCUGUUUUUAAUGCACAUGAUGAUAGCCACGAUAACCAUGAAUCUUCAGUUCAGUCACACACACACACACACACACACACACACACACACACAGUACUUUAUGACCUCAUCUAGAGAAAUCAAAACCCAGAUCUGUAGUGUUUAUCCUUAAGUGUACAAAAAAGCAGAGGAGCGAAUGUGUGAGACAGAUGUCUAUCUGCACUUUGCCUUCUGCUGGGGAAAGUCGCCUGAAAAUGACUAGCUUCCUUUUACAGAUCCUAAACCACCUGUAUUUUGCCACAAAACUAAGUUGGGUCACUAAUAAAGCACCAGUUACAUGGAUCAACGAGAUACCAAUUAUGCCUAUUAACGGCUUUAUUACUUAGGAUUAUAGUCGAGAACUUCAAACUCGGACAAUACAAUCAGGUGAUUUUUAAAAUCGGCUGCCUAAGAUUUUUUACAUCAUCCUUCCCCUAAAUCCCAGGAAGUUAGAAGGCUACAUGAUGUUUUAAGGAGUGUGUGUGUGUUUGUGUGUAUUCCUUGUCAAUGCUGAAUUCCUUUCUUUCAGUAAAGUUCGUGGCUACUUUUGGCAAAUAACGGAACCUUGAUUUCAGAUCCUGUCAAGUUAUGCAGAGUGUCAUUGACCAUGGUGGUUACAACUGACUUGGUUUGGAAGUGGACUUGGUGCAAGGUGAGGGUACACGCUCUUCCAGCAUCCUGGUAGUGGUGAAAACCGGAGGUCAUUUAAAAGAACAAGUUGUUUUAACUUCUCCUUCAGCUGGGGCACGGCCUGCCUGGGUGGGGGUGGGGAGAACGAGAGCGUGAAAGAGACGGAGGAAACCAGCAGAAAAUGAAGUACUGGUGUUAUGUGUUUAGUGUUCUUUUCGCCCGUGGGCUGGCAAGCUCGCGGGCCACUGGUGAGUCAGAAGAAAGGAGCAGGGUGGCUGUCUGAAGAGGGGCAAGCAUCAGAGGAGUUUAUCAGUUUCGGGGCUACUGUGUGGCCGGGCCUGCAUUUUCCAGGAGGCCAUCUGCCACUUCUCCCCGUCUCUUUGCCAGCCUCUUGUUAUCCCCAAGUGGAGGUCCACGCUCGGUUGUGUGUGUGCAGGCGAGGCACGGAGCAAAGGAGGGAAUUAAAUUGCCCUUCAAGGCCACAGUUAGAAAAGGGGGAGCAACUUAACAUGGGUCCUUCUAUCUCUCCGAAGCAGGCAAGCUGAGCGGUUGGAGGGGGCCAGUUUGUCUUGUGUGUCGCCUCUGCUUGUAGUGUUCUCAUCUUGGUUUUCUAGAGCAUUGGGAGUGUUCGGGGCAAAGAGAUUGAAGUCUGUCUUGCUCAAGACAUCUGCCCAGCACCUCAGCUCCUGGGUGCAAGCCCAUAACACCAGGAUGCAUCUGGUUCUGAUGUACCUGCCAGGUUGCCGGGGCGAUAUGGGCAUAGAUGCCUAGGCUGUGUGGCCCACCCUUGACCUGCUUGGGAUUAACAGGUCCUCUCUCAGCAGCACUAAAGCUUUUGAUUAUUUUGGAGCUCUGGGUGGCCUCUUCCCUUACGUGAAGCCCGCGGACCUCCUCCUCAUUUCUGUUAUGUCAGAGUUAAUUGCCCGGCAGUGGGGUGUCGCUCAUAGUGGGAUGGCCAAGAAAUACUGCAGGCAAGGACAGUGUCUUCAGCAGGCAACAGGUAAGAGGGUGGCAUGGAAUUCUCUUUUUCCUUUGGUAUCCAGAGGGUUCUGAAACCUAAACUUCCUUUGAAUGGGAUGGUGUUUGGAAUUUUCUCUUCAGUGGUUCCCCAGGGACAAUAUAUAUAUAUAUUGGUCUAGCUUAGACUGUUAGUACCCUGAGUGGGGUCCUGAAAGUAAAACUAGUAUUGCUUUCAGUGGGCAGCUCACCCCAGUGGCACAGCUCAUCAAGAGAGCAUCCAGGUCAGCAGGAAAUUCCCUCUGUCCCUAAGUGUCCUGAGAACAAAUUCCCUGCAGAUGCCAUGGGAGAGUGAACUGGAGGCUACAGCAGGACUCCUGGAGGCUCUGGAGCUUCCCUACCAAGUCCAUGGUGGAGUGGAGCAGGGCUUGGGGACAGGAGGAAAAAAAACAGUCUAGUUUUGGACAAAUUGAAGACCAGGAAUGUCCUGAGGUUCAGGAGAUGGGAGUGAUGUUAGCCCUUGGUCUGACGGGUCUGUGGUCUAAUCCACUUGUCCCGAACAUUCUAGGAUUCCUUGAUAGAGCAAAGACCAGAGCUCUCCCAAAGUGACCAGUAAAACUAGUCCUCACACUUGUUCGUCACCCACCACCACCUCCCAAUCCAAAGAGGUCCACAGCACCAAAGCCUGAUAGGAUCUGCCUCUCAGAAUACCUGGUGGGAGAACCUGGGGUCAUAGACAGGAAAGGAGGAGAGCUCCCAUCUUUCAGAUUAGGAUUAGAUUAGGCCAGAAAACCUAUCCAUCACUAUAACAUCCUCUGAGUUGGCCCUUGCACGUGGUUGUUCAGGAUGCCGGGUAAGCUGGGGGAGGCUGACCCGUCCCCGGCAACCCAAGUCUAUGAAAACAAAUGUUUUCUAGGAACAAAAUUCUGUAGCUUUAAAGGUUUCCCUAGCUAGAGCCCAUCUACUUUUAUGGGGGGGGGGGUCUCUCGCAGCAACCAGAAUCGGUUUCACCUCUUUUCUCCUUUGUGGCAUGAGGUUGCCCUUUAGGAGGGCUUAUUGGAUGCUGUCUGCAGCUAGCUCCCUGUUCCUGUCCUCACCUGGCUCUUUGUAUGGAAACCCCACAUGUAAGCUCUUUACAGUGGUUUUUUUUCUUCUAUUAUUUUUGACUAGAAAAUUUGACCAGACAGUCUCAUGAACUACAUUGGACUGAUCUGCCAAAAUGCGUCUCAUUUGUAUUCGCAUACAGCCAAGGGUGGGGUCUAUGUCAGUCACUGCCUCCUGAAAUCUCACCAAGACUUUCUCACUGGCAGAAAUGUCUAGAAAAUCCUGCUGAGGCCAUUCCUGGGGUGGCUCAGCACUGCCCAGGCCUGUGAGAAAAGAAAGAAGAUUUCAAUCCUGCCAGUCUCUCACUGCCAAAGCAAUAGCCAAGUAAUGGGCUUAAUGGCUUGGAGAUGCCUACCUAGUCUCUGCGGUUCACCUCAUGGCCUUUCUACCUGCACACACAGUCACUUGGAGAGAAUCAAGUGUAUGUACCUCUCCCUGCAGAUGGUGUAUCUGUAAGGUAAAGAUCCCUCAAGUUGCCUUUUUUUUAUUUAUUUUUGACCCCAGUCAACCAGCUUGGGUUUUCUGGUAAGAGUCGGGGGAGAUUCAAAUGAAGUGGAAACCUUGUUCUCUGGGGGCUUUUGUUUCCCUCUGAUGCCCUAGCUCACACUCCAGAACAAAGGGUUGAGGUAAGUGAUUUCUCUUUUGGUCUCCUGGCCCCUCACUUCCAUCGCUCCUCUGCAGGAUUCCUCUUUGAGACCCCCAGGAGAGCCUGGGGGAGCAGGCCUACUCCUGCUGACCUUGCCAGCCCCUCCUUUUUAAGAAGCAGAAAGCCCAUUUCAGAUACUAGCUGCUUUGUGCCUUUGGGUGCCCACCACUUCCACUCCCCCAAGACUGCGCAGUUGAGGCUGACAGCUACACACACCUCUCUUGUUAAAAGCAUUGAGGACAAGGGCUGGUGAUUCAUCUCAGAGGUAAAGCGUUUAAAGGAACCCCCUCCCCACACAUACCUCGAAACUGGCUCCAUCUUACCUAGCAUUUGCAGGGCCCUGUGUUCUCAUCACUGCAGAAAACAAAAAACACAUGGGACAGCUAUUAAAUAGCUCUUGGAAGAGGUUAAAGGUCUUUCUCUCGGGGUUGAGAAUUUUUAAAAGUCCUUUUGGGUAGAAAUCUUCAGGGGAUACAACAUAGAAAUUAGACUUGCUGGUGCAAUUUUAAAAUUUGAAAGACCUCUCUCCUUAAAAGUGUUCGUUGAAAAUGGUUCUAUUUUGUUUGCCGACUGGCCUUUUUGCCAUUGUAAGUCAGGAGAGUCUUGAGGCCAAACCACUAAGACUUUUAUUUUCCUUUUGCUAUUUUUGGGGUGCCGGUCCACUUUCUGAUGAGAUCUAUUGAAUUUUUUUCUUUAACUGUGCAGGUGGGUUUUCAGACUUGAAAAUGUAAAUGAAAAGCUAACCCCUUCCCUGCCAGCCCAUUUCAGGAGUCCUUAGAGCCUGCCAGCUUGGCUUCCGCUCAAAGAGGUGGGCCCUGUGUCUGACCUGGGUAGAAUGAGAUUUGACACUUUUCAUUCUAGUGCUGACUCGGGAGCCUUUGGAAAGCAGUAUCUGUUUUGUUUCAGUGUGCAAAGUUCAAACCAAUGAUGCGGGAUCCACCUUCUGCUUUGAGCCUGUCCUGGAGGGCACAAUUCAUCCCCGAGCUCCUGGACGAGCUUCAACAGAAUAUCUCUUGUUCAUAAAAAGAAAGAAAGAAAGAAAGAAAGAAAGAAAGAAAGAAAGAAAGA